rnacentral:rRNA from 1 species
UACGUAGGGUGCAAGCGUUGUCCGGAAUUAUUGGGCGUAAAGGAUGCGUAGAUGGUGUAGUAAGUUAUCGGUGGCAAAUCGAGGCUCAACCUCGUGGAAGUCGGUAAUACUGCUAUGCUAGAGGAUAGGAGAGGUUAACGGAACUCCCUGUGGAGCGGUGAAAUGCGUAGAUAUAGGGAAGAACACCAAUCAGGCGAAGGCAGUUAACUAUUCUAUUCCUGACAUUGAGGCAUGAAAGCGUGGGGAGCAAAACGG